rnacentral:pre_miRNA from 1 species
AUAGGAUCUAGACCGGGCAUAUCUUCAUACGACCAUGCAAAAAUAUCCGGAUAUUCCCGGAGGAGCUGGAUGAUCUUACUUUUAACCUCUUCCCCUAGAGCAGCACCGAUCUUGAUUUCCCGCUUGUUCUCCUCGGUACCUAUGUUGAUAAGCUCAAUCUCUUCCUGA